CAGUCGCCACGGUAAUACGUAGGGCGCAAGCGUUGUCCGGAAUUAUUGGGCGUAAAGAGCUCGUAGGCGGUCUGUCGCGUCUGGUGUGAAAUCCCGAGGCUCAACCUCGGGCUUGCAUCGGGUACGGGCAGACUAGAGUGCGGUAGGGGAGACUGGAAUUCCUGGUGUAGCGGUGGAAUGCGCAGAUAUCAGGAGGAACACCGAUGGCGAAGGCAGGUCUCUGGGCCGCAACUGACGCUGAGGAGCGAAAGCAUGGGGAGCGAACAGGAUUAGAUACCCGCGUAGUCCCUGUCUCUUAUAC
rnacentral:rRNA from 1 species